rnacentral:lncRNA from 1 species
GGUCAUCACUACCAACUUGUAGUAUUAAUUAAGCCUUCCUAAAACCGUUUGAAGUCUUCUUACAUCAAAAAAUAUAUUCAAUGAUUGUUGAGAUUAAGAGCUUAUAAGUUCUUCUAUUGAAUAACAAUUUUAUACUGAAAGGCUUUAAGGUUUUAUUAUAUAGAAUAGGAAAAAAUUCAACAAAUAAAUUAUAUAAUUUAAAUUUUUUAAGAAUCCACUUGAACACGAUAGCUUAAUUAGGUUAAAAUUGGAUGAAGUUAGGAUUUAAAUGAUUUUUAGAAUUGGAUGAUUUUUUAUUUACAAAUAAAAAAUGGUUCUUAGAUCAAAACUAAUUUUUGGAUAAAAAUCCGUUCAUAAAUGGAAAUUUAUUCUUAGAUGAAAUUUUAAUUGCUAAAAAAUUAAAAUAAAAUAAAAAAUUAAUUUUUAUAAAUAUAUAAGAAUAUCAUAAAGGAUUUUUGAUGCAUGUAUAGAUGUUGAAGAAUGUAUGAGUGAUUGAUUGAGCUAAUUUUAAGAAUUUUAGGACCUUUUAGUAAGAAAUUAGAAGAUUAUUUUUAUGUAAUAGAAUCACAAGUUAAUUAAUUGUUGUGA